rnacentral:rRNA from 1 species
UACGUAGGUGACCAGCGUUGUCCGGAUUUACUGGGCGUAAAGAGCGCGCAGGCGGUCGUUCAAGUCGAGUGUGAAAGCCCCCGGCUCAACUGGGGAGGGUCACUUGAUACUGAUCGACUCGAAGGCAGGAGAGGGAAGCGGAAUUCCCGGUGUAGUGGUGAAAUGCGUAGAUAUCGGAAGGAACACCAGUGGCGAAGGCAGUUCUCUGGGACGGUACUGACGCUGAGACGCGAAAGCGUGGGGAGCGAACAGG